GGCCGCAAGGUUAAAACUCAAAUGAAUUGACGGGGGCCCGCACAAGCGGUGGAGCAUGUGGUUUAAUUCGAUGCAACGCGAAGAACCUUACCUGGUCUUGACAUCCACGGAAGUUUUCAGAGAUGAGAAUGUGCCUUCGGGAACCGUGAGACAGGUGCUGCAUGGCUGUCGUCAGCUCGUGUUGUGAAAUGUUGGGUUAAGUCCCGCAACGAGCGCAACCCUUAUCCUUUGUUGCCAGCGGUCCGGCCGGGAACUCAAAGGAGACUGCCAGUGAUAAACUGGAGGAAGGUGGGGAUGACGUCAAGUCAUCAUGGCCCUUACGACCAGGGCUACACACGUGCUACAAUGGCGCAUACAAAGAGAAGCGACCUCGCGAGAGCAAGCGGACCUCAUAAAGUGCGUCGUAGUCCGGAUUGGAGUCUGCAACUCGACUCCAUGAAGUCGGAAUCGCUAGUAAUCGUGGAUCAGAAUGCCACGGUGAAUACGUUCCCGGGCCUUGUACACACCGCCCGUCACACCAUGGGAGUGGGUUGCAAAAGAAGUAGGUAGCUUAACCUUCGGGAGGGCGCUUACCACUUUGUGAUUCAUGACUGGGGUGAAGUCGUAACAAGGUAACCGUAGGGGAACCUGCGGUUGGAUCACCUCCUUACCUUAAAGAAGC
rnacentral:rRNA from 2 species